UCCCUCUCUCAAAUCCUGAGCACCUCCACAUCCAAUCUUCAAACCGUAUCUAUUUUAUGGCUUUCUAUUAGAUUCUCAUUCAUUGCUCCUCCAUCUCUGUUCAAGCUUCAAUAAUCAGGUCGUCUCAAGAGUUCCAGUCAUUACUCUCAUUGGGAUUUCUCACUCUAUAUCGAUUAACUUUUGAAUCAGUUCCAGCCCUCAUCUCUCUAUCGAAAAUUGUCUGGCAAGAACUUGACUAGAAGCAUGCCGAACGAUUUGAUCAGGUUGACCAGCUUAGAACAGUUUACAAAGAGUUUUUUGCUGCUUUUGAGAGCAACCGAGCAGCAACUGUAGCCUUCCAACAUCACUUUUAUCAGCGCUUGAUAACCGAUCAUAGAUUCCUGUAACGAUUUGAGCUGUGGUUGCAAGUUUGGUAUCAGCAUUUGAUAACCGAUCAUGUUUUGCUGUUUAUGUGUGUCGCAACAAGAUCUUAUUAUGGUUACCAAAUCGUAGGUACAAUUCGCAAGGUUACACCGAGAUGGCCUGGGAGGGAAUUGUUGGUGCUACAGAUGCAACACAGCGUAACAAACAACAAAUUAUAGAAUCUGAGCAUUUAAUGAAAGCCCUUUUGGAGCAAAAAGAUGGAUUAGCAAGAAGGAUACUAACAAAGGUUGGGUUAGACAACACAUCAGCAAUGCUUCAAAUAUUGAUAUUUGGACGAACCGACCUGUAACAAGAUUACACUUUUGCACUUUCAUGCUUGGUUAAUGGUAUAGUCAAAAUUUUAACAGCAAUGCUUCAAAUAUUGAUAUUUGGCCCGGUAUACAUCUUUCCUUUUCUUUUUGUCCAAUGUUAUUUCAAAAAUCAUAUUGUUUUAAUAAUAAUGAAAGUCUUUUUUUAAAUGGAUCAAGCGGUUUGGAAGGUUUACAUGUCAAAAAGAAGACUACUUGGUGAAAUCAAACUUCAAAAAGCAGACUAUUUGGUUAAGGAUUGAAUAUUUUCAUGCUCCAAGGAUAGAUUAGCAAAUGAUUUUGGUGGAAUGGCCCGUCUUACGGCUGAUAUAAAACUACCAAACCGUACCCUUCAUGUGUAUGGGUAGGGAAUAUAACUCCGCUUGCGGGUUGGAUGUCUAAUCCGCCAGUUGUAUCUUAUCCAACGGAUUCCGGUAGUGCAAUCGGUCUCGAUAGUCCCUCUAUUUCAGCUGCUUUGAAGCAUCCAAGAACUCUGACAAAUCCGUCGGUGGAUUACCCAUCUGCAGAUUCUGACCAUAUGAGCUAAAGAACGAGAAUCAUGGGGAUAACCGAAGAGGCAAAUCUGCCAGUCAAUGUGUUACCCGUGUCAUUCCCUGGGCAUUUGGGUCGUAUUAGGGAUAAAGCUGUUCAUUUCAGUUACAAAAAGUGGGCCCAAACAGGAGUUCUGAUGCUUAUAUCAGCUGGAAUGGUUAAGUUUUAAGAAAUGCAGUGGUUUCGUAACAGAUUUUCGGCACCAUUAGAAAAGUGAUAAUACUUUUGGUUGCAUUAGCCUUACAGUCCGCAGCCAGUACUACAUAUGCUUUAAUCUUCGGUUUGUUAGCAUUGCUGACAUGUCAUCUCAAUCAGUGCCUGCCAAAAGGCCACAUGACCAGGAUGAUGCAGAACCUAACAGAAAAAGGGGAGUUGCAAAAGACCACAUCACACAAAACGACCCCAAACAUUGUUUUCCGAAUGCUCUGUCAUGAUGAUAAAAUCGAAAGUGUUAUUGGAAAAGAUGGCAACAAAAUAUUGAAAAUAUACCAGGAAUUUGGUGCAGAAAUAACGGUUGAAGACCCUGUCUCUGGCUGCAGUGAACGAAUGAUUGUUAUUGCAGAAUCCGGGAACGAGAAUGGAAUCUCUAAUGAAAUUAAAAAACGUAUCGAUGCAGAUGAGGAAAAGAAAGAAAAUCAAGAAACUCAGGAUAAUGAUGUAGGGGAAGAUUCGCAAUCCGAAAAGUCUUCUUCUUUGCAGAAGGGUCGAUGCUUGUGUUUGAAAAAAUGGUUGAAAAGGAACCAAAAAUUUGUGGAGGAGUUGAAGGUUCUAACAAAGAAACUACCACAUGUGUUGUUAGGUUACUCUUACUUUCUUCUCAAGUGGGCCCACUUUUGGGAAUAUCUGGCAGUGUAAUUAAACAAUUGACAUCUGAAAGCACGGCCCAAAUUCGGGUUCUUCCUCGAGACAAACUUCUGUCAUGUGCAUUCUCUACCGAUGAAUUGGUUCAGAUUUCUGGAGAAGUAAAUGCGGUUAGAAAAGCACUUCAAUCUGUUUCACAGCAGCUUCUAGACCAUCUGACUGGUGAUGAUGAUUCUUUCACUGCCGAUAAAAGUGGUUCUUUUCAUUCUUUUGGUAUUCGACAAGAUGCAUACCCUCAUUUUCCUCACGGAGAACCAUUACCUGCAGGGCCUUGUGAUGGAGGAAGUGGCACUUUUGGGGGACGUUUUGGUCCUUUCACAGACAUGCUAACAGUGUUUUGAAACUACUUUUCGGUUAAAACAGUGUUUAAAACCACUGUUGGGUUAAAAC